GAUGAACGCUGGCGGCGUGCCUAAUACAUGCAAGUCGAGCGAACAGACGAGAGUUCUUGCACUCUCUGACGUUAGCGGCGGACGGGAGGGUAACACGUGGGUAACCUACCUAUGAGACUGGUAUAACUUCGGGAAAUCGUAGCUAAUACCGGAUAAUAUUUAGCUUCGCAUGACUCAAUAGUGAAAGACGGUUCUGCUGUCACUUAUAGAUUGACCCGCGGUGGAUUAGCUAGUUGGUGAGGUAACGGCUCACCAAGGCGACGAUACAUAGCCGACCUGAGGGGGUGAUCGGCCACACUGGGACUGAGACACGGCCCAGACUCCUACGGGAGGCAGCAGUAGGGAAUAUUCCGCAAUGGACGAAAGUCUGACGGAGCAAUGCCGCGUGAGUGAAGAAGGUUUUCGGAUCGUAAAACUCUGUUGUAAGGGAAGAACAAGUACGUUAGUAAAUGAACGUGCCUUGACGGUACCUUAAGAGAAAGCACCGGCUAACUACGUG
rnacentral:rRNA from 1 species